rnacentral:misc_RNA from 1 species
UCCCAUUAAAUGUGACAACAUCAGAAAAUCAAGUGAAUGUCACAACAGGUGUUGAUACUGCAACUGUAGCUAACACAAUAUAGACUGAUGGUCAGCUAGCUAUUUAUCAGGUAGAUCAGGUUCUUCUUCCAUUAGACCUUUUUGCAGCGUCUGUAGCCCAGAAGGUCAUUCCAAUGAAAGCUCCUGCAACGGCUUCUGAUGAUACCCAAGCUGAUACUUCCAUUGCAACAACUACAGUAGUAUCAUUUAGUGUUGCACUUAUUGCAACAAUUUCUUUGAAGUUAUGAUUUUUUUUCUUUUUUGGAUAAUGAUGUGUUACUCUUUGAUGAAUUGAACAAAGUUUAAUCAUUUUUUAUUAAGUAUUCUCCUCCCUAUCUUCUAUAUAAAAUGUACCAUGAUU